UACGUAGGGUGCGAGCGUUAAUCGGAAUUACUGGGCGUAAAGCGUGCGCAGGCGGUUUUGUAAGCCAGAUGUGAAAUCCCCGGGCUUAACCUGGGAAUGGCAUUUGGGACUGCAAGGCUGGAGUGUGGCAGAGGGGGAUGGAAUUCCGCGUGUAGCAGUGAAAUGCGUAGAUAUGCGGAGGAACACCGAUGGCGAAGGCAAUCCCCUGGGCCUGCACUGACGCUCAUGCACGAAAGCGUGGGGAGCAAACGGG
rnacentral:rRNA from 1 species